rnacentral:rRNA from 1 species
AUGGAAGCGACGGCGGUGAGCUUGGCGAGGUCCGUGCUGGACGGCGUGCUGAGCAGCGCGGGCUCUGCGGUCGCCGACGAGGUCGCGCGGCUCCUGGGCGUGCCCAAGGAGGUGGAGUUCAUCCGCAACGAGCUGGAGAUGAUGCAAUCCUUUCUUAGGGUGGCCUCGGCGCGCCCCGACGCCGCCGCGCGCAACGACACCGUGCGGACCUGGGUGAAGCAGGUGCGCGACCUCGCCUACGACGUCGAGGACUGCCUCCUCGACUUCGCCCUCUACUCUGCCACCGUCUCCUCGUCGACGUGGUCCUGGCUCCCGGCCCCCCUGGCCGAACGCCGCCGCAUCGCCGCGCGGAUCCGGGACCUCAAGGCCAGCGUCGAGGAGCUGAACCAGCGCAACCUGCGGUACCACGUCAUCGUCGACCACUGCCCCCCGAUGCGCGGCGUCGAGGUGGAUGUUGGUCAGCAGCAGCUGCUCCCGGACCAGGACGUGCUCUCGGCCGCCGAGGUCGCGUUCCAGGAGUGGGACAUCAUCGGGCGAAGCAGCGAGAAGGCCGAGCUCAAGGACAAGAUCUUGGGCGGCGACGGCGGUAAGCUGGGCGUCGUGUCGGUGUGGGGGAUGGGCGGCAUGGGCAAGUCGUCGCUGGUGAGCAUCGUGCGCAACGACCCGGUGCUCCUCGACGCGUUCGACUGCGGCGCGUGGGUGACCGUGCCGCACCCGCUCGACAACGCCGACGAUUUCAGGCGGUGCCUCAGAAAACAGCUCCAGCUCGGAGCGGCAGCGCACGACGAGCCGGCGGACGCCAUCCGGGUCCGGGAGCACCUCAAGGACAAGCGGUACGUGAUUGUAGUCGAUGAUCUGCUCUCGCAGGAGGAAUGGACGCAUGUAUGGCAAGUCCUCAACUUCCAUAACGGCAAGGGAAGCCGUGUAAUCGUCACUACGCGCCGCCAGGACGUCGCCCGGCACUGCGCCCGAAACGUUGGUGAGGGGUAUGGCCUUGUCUACGAGCUCAAGCCACUUGGGGAUAAUGAGUCCAUGAGUCUCCUGUGCAAGAAGGUCUAUAAUACAAGUAAUUUUAAUUUGCCUGUUGAAAUGGAGGAGCAAGCCAGCCGUAUUUUAAAGAGAUGUCGAGGUCUUCCACUCGCCAUUUCCACGAUAGGUGGUCUCCUAGCCAAUAGGCCGAAGACAAGCAUUGAAUGGAUGAAGAUGCAUGAACACCUUGGAGCAGAGUUGGAGUCUGAUCUUCGCAACAUCACAAAUGUGAUUGUCUCAAGUUAUGAUGGAUUGCCAUACCAUUUGAAAUCAAUCUUCAUAUACCUCAGUAUCUUCCCUGAAAACCAAGAGAUCAGAUGCACCCGCCUAUUGAGGCGGUGGAUGGCAGAGGGCUACAUAGCAAAGAACCGCGAUAUGCCUGUGGAGGAGGUAGGGGAACGUUUCUACAAUGAGCUUAUCAAUAGAAGCAUGAUCCAACCCUCAAAGAAGAAGAUUAUCCCUGGUGUGAGAGUUUCUCACUGCAUGAUUCAUAGUAUGGUGCGGCAGAUCAUCCUAUCCAAGGCAGUUGAGGAAAACCAACUCUUCCUCGUUGAGAAGCAGUGCAAUGAGGUACCACAUAGUAAGAUACGUCACUUGGUGGUAUCUAGGUGGAAAGGAAGGGAGGAGAAGCUAGAACACAUAAAUCUGUCAUAUAUUCGAUCAUUGACGAUUUUUGGAGAGUGCCCUGUUUCCCUCAUCUCUCCUAAAAUGCGGCUUCUGCGAGUGCUGGACCUAGAAGACACAAUCAAUAUGAGGAAUGAAGACCUUAGGCACAUUGGGGAGUUGCCUCACCUUAGUUACCUUUCCUUGAGAGGAACAAAGAUAUCAAAGCUUCCAUCUUCUUUGCAAAAACUUCGUUACCUAGAGACACUAGACAUUGAAGACACAAAGGUGACAAAGCUCCCUCAUGGAAUUUUUAAACUUGAGAAGCUACGUUAUCUUCUUGCUGGAGUGAACUUCUCAAAAGAUCUAUUGCAAAAGCUGGUGCAACCAGAGAUGAAUAACAAAAACACAAACCUGUUGGGAAACAUGGCACCUUUUCUAUGCUGCAAUAGAAUGGAUUAUUGCAAUAUUUCCAACAUGGACCAACUCAGUGUAAGGGCUCCUAAAGGUAUCGAGAAGCUAAGGAACUUGCAUAUGUUUGGUGCAUUCAAUGUUGGCCAGGGCAAUGGUGUAGGAGGGAGGCUCGGGAAGCUGACUAACCUGCAAAGGUUAGGAGUCACAGUCACAGGUCUCACUGAGGAAGAAGGCCGGGAGUUGUGCCAGUCAAUAGAAAAGCUUGGUCGACUUCAGCGACUUGAGGUGCGAUCUUAUUCUCUUGAGUUUCUUGCAAAAAUGGAUGAAUCAUCAACACCGAAGCAUCUAGCUUCACUCAAGCUAUUAGGCAAUCUAUUCAUAUUGCCCAAAUGGAUUACGUCGCUUAAUGAUCUAGCCACGGUGAAGAUGCUAGGAACAAAACUACAACAGGGACAAGUUGAUAUCCUCGGAAACUUGCGCAGUCUCGCUGCCCUUUGCUUGUGGGAGAGAUCCUACAGAGGGGAGUCAUUGUGUUUCAGUGCUGGUAAGUUUCCAAAGCUCAAGUUCCUUGAUAUUGAUUGGCUAGACAAUAUUGAAACUAUGGAAAUCAAGGAUGGUGCAAUGCCUGAGCUUGAGCGUCUUUGGCUGAACAACUGCAAAGCACUAUGUGACAGUGGCGAGGGCUUAUCCGGAGUGCCGUAUUUGCCAAACUUGAAUGAGCUUCUUGUGAAGAAAUGUGGCGAGAAGGAGAAAUUGAUGGAGAUACUGCAAUGGCAGGUUAGUGAACAUAGGAGGCGCCCUAAGUUCCUAAUUGGCAAGUCCAUUUUACCUACAAGCUCAAAGCCAAGCACAAGUGCAUCAGCUGUACAGUGA